GAUGAACGCUAGCUACAGGCUUAACACAUGCAAGUCGAGGGGUAACGAGAGGAAAGCUUGCUUUCCUUGUCGACGACCGGCGCACGGGUGAGUAACGCGUAUCCAACCUGCCCCCAACUAGGGAAUAACCUUGCGAAAGUAAGACUAAUACCCUAUAAUUUCCUCAGAUGUCAUCUGACGAGGAAUAAAGAUUUAUCGGUUGUGGAUGGGGAUGCGUCUGAUUAGCUUGUUGGCGGGGUAACGGCCCACCAAGGCAACGAUCAGUAGGGGUUCUGAGAGGAAGGUCCCUCACAUUAGAACUGAGACACGGUCCAAACUCCUACGGGAGGCAGCAGUGAGGAAUAUUGGUCAAUGGGCGGAAGCCUGAACCAGCCAAGUAGCGUGCAGGAUGACGGCCCUAUGGGUUGUAAACUGCUUUUAUACAGGAAUAAAGUUAGCCACGUGUGGUUAUUUGUAGGUACUGUAUGAAUAAGGACCGGCUAAUUCCGUGCCAGCAGCCGCAGUAA
rnacentral:rRNA from 1 species